UCCCCCGAGUCCUAACGCCCGCCUUUUCCUUGCCUCGGCUCCCGCACACCCCGGCGCGCUCUCGCUCCUUCCCGGCUGGAGCCAGCUGAGCCACCACGCCACAGCCGAUCCGGCUAAGCGCAGACCCCAGGAAAAGGACUCCGAGCUUAGGAGGAGACUCGACUCGCCAGUCCUCCCCGAACUACCUAGGAGGCUUAUCCCGGAGAGCCUGAACCGAAGGCUCCGCUCUGGCCCGACCCUAGCCUCAGUCUGCCAAUGAAGCCCGCUUGGCAGGUGGCUUAGGACACGGCCCAGGCGGCUGUGCAGAAUGAAGGAUGAACAAUAACUAUCGAACAGCUCUUUGACUGAUGGAAAUCUGAAUGGAAAGAAGAAGAGAGAUGCAAGAGACAUUGAGGUAAUAUUAAUAAGAUUGGAACUUUGUGGAUGUGGACAAUAAGGAGAAAAAUAAAAAUGAUCUUCAAACUGAGGUUUGCAUCUGGGAGAAUAAGAAUAAUGAUCUCAUUUUCAUAAAUUUUGGAUUCAGAUGGAAGUAGUUGUCAGUUUGGAGGGAAGAACGUAAGCUCAAUUUUGGAGCUGUUGAGUUUGAACAUUCAUGUAUUGAUGAUAGGCAGUUGGAGAUGGGGAGAUUGGAAUUCUGGGGAAAGAUUUAGGACUCUGUAGUACUGAGAGUUGUAGAAGUGAUUUAUUGAACCUUUAGGAUUUGCUGAGAAUAUAAAGAAAGAAGAGGAACCAGCAUACAGCCUUGGAGGACAGCUACAUUUAUAAGGUAACAGAGAGAACUAUACGUGGAGUGCCAAUUUUCUAAGAUUUAAAGCACAAUGUCACACUAAGACUGCAAUGGAAAUUUUUUUGAAGGCGUAGACAUGUGGUUACAUCCAUAUAGGAAACUCCUGUCACCAAAGGAAAUGUACAACUUAUUAGCACAUAGAGGCUUACAGAUGUGCCUGAAGGACCUGAGAGAACCAUGGUCACACAGCCUGGAAGUACCAGAAAGAGGAGGAGAACCUUCCUAUCUUGAUGGAGAGAAAGGAGACAGCAUGUACCAGGCAAGUUAAGUCACUAUUGCCUCUUUGCUCACCAAUUCUAUUCAGACCUCACUGUAGACAAAACCUUGAAUGUAAGAGCCUUGGAACUAGCCGUAGCUCUCCCUUCCCAACCGCCAGACAUGCUUUCAGCAGCCCCACUGCCUCCCGACAUCACUGAGGAAAGAAAUCAUUAUGAAGAAGGGGCCCAUUCUCCUCAUUAUUAAUAACUGGUGAGCAAAUCCAUCCACAGGCAGAUGAGUACAAGCACUCUGGGAAUGGCAGCAGUACCCUUCCCUCCCCAACUACUACUUCCAGUCCAGUCCUCAUAGCCAUAAUCUGGGGAAACAGCUCCUGUAGAAAAGGGACCAGCUGAUUUCAACAACUAUCACCCACAGGGCUGGACAACCAGUCAAGCUGUGGCAACAAAGCAUCCUGAAGAAGAAACAGGAGGUAGCAUAUGCUGAGCAGGUCUUGAUCAUUUCCCCUGAAACCCAAACAAGUCAGUCUAGGACCCUGAACUGCACUUGAGAAGAAAAAGCCUUCCUGCUCACUCCUCACAGUCGUUCCGGAAUGCAACCUCACAACUGUUCCUGUAGGUUAUAUAAGAAACCACAAUUACUGAAGAUCUAGAAAAAAAGGGUUUUGUCACCAGAAUGUUUGGUACUGUCAAUUAGGUGAACAUAAGAAACUCAUAGGAUUUUAUCAGUGGAAAUAAUAUUAAUGAGGAAACAGUAGCAUCUCCUUUGUCACUGGAUUCUAAGAACUUUUCCAUCUGACUUGUAGCUGAAUGUUGUUCCCCUCAACUGCAAUAGAAUGUAAGCUCCUUUACAGUGGAGAUUGAUUUGCUUUUCUAUUUGUAUCCCCCUUGCUUAGCACAGUGCUUCGAACACAGCACUGUUUUUCAUUCAUUCAUUUUGAUCCCCAAAGUCAACACUAUCCAUCAACACAUUUGAGCAACAUAGUUUCAUCCAAUUCAUGAAACAUUCAUUAAGCACCUAGUCUACACGAGGCCUUGUGUCUGAGUUUGGGGGCUAUAAAUUUGAUAAGCACUGCCUUCAGGGAGUUUAAGGUCUAUCAGAGAAGAUACAGAAUAUACACAGCUAAAUAUAUUUCAAGGCCCAAUAUGAUGGGGACAAAGAUCGAGAGCACUGGUCUAAAUUGAGGAGGAAAAGAACAUUUUAAAGUUUCCUUACUGUUGUUCCAAGAUUUCUUGUUUACACAUUCACUUGCAACUAGGGAUGAUUAAAGAAAGCUUCAUGAAAAAAAAAUGACUUGAGUUUUGAAGGAAGAAAAAAGUUUCUGCAAGGCCAAAAAGAAGGGAUUCUAGGCAUAAAGCAGAUUGCUUAGUGGAGGGAAGAGAAGAUAGGUGAAAGAGAAAGACUCAUUGAAGACCAAUCUAAAAAGAGACACCUUCCAAAGUAAUUAGAAUAGAAAGAGAGCCCACCUAUACAGACAAAUUAAAACUGUUUUUUGUUGUAACAAACAACUGGAACAAAGUGGUUACCUGUCAAUAAGGAAAUAGCUAAAUAAAAAUACAGUACAUUAAAAUAAUGAAAUGGUCUCUAACAGAGACUAGUUAUAUCUCGCCAGUCCCAGCUACCUUGCCCAGGGCUGCAACUCCUGUCAAGGUCACCUACUACCUGGACCUUUAGCUCCUGCCCUUUGGCUCUAGCAUUUUGUGAGAAUUCACUAUAUCUAGCCAGCCCCAGGCCCUUAAAGACUUUCUGCUAUAGCUCCAUGUGAAUACCAUCUUUCCACCUUCUCUAUCAUCAUCUCCUUCCCACUUACUUCUUUGAAAACAACAUUGUCUACUAAGCUAGGCAUCCAUUCUUGCAAAAAUGUAAAAUAUACCUUUCCUGCAGUCAAAAAACAACAGCAUUCAAAUCAAUUCAUUGCCUGUGGAAGGAGAAGCCACCUUAUGGCUUCUCUGUGACUACAUCCUUACUUGGCCACCAGUCUACUCUGUUGUCUCUUCCAAUGGAAAUUUAUAAUAUCUUGAGAGCAGAGACUGUCACACUUUUGAAUUUAUACUCCUGAUAUUUUUAUAUUUUUGAAAGGCAAUUGGGGGGGUUAGAUGACUUGCCCAGAGUCACACAGCUAGUAAGUAUUAAGUGUCUGAGGCUGGAUUUGAACUCAGGUUCUCCUGACUUCAGGGCUAGUUCUCUAUCCACUGAUCCAUUUAGCUACCCCAAUAAAUUAAAAAAAAAUCAGUCAUUCAAGACAAAUUCAGAGAAAUCUGGGUAAACUUGCAAAAAUGAUGCUAAGUGAAAUGAGCAGAACAAAGAGAACAAUUUACAUGAUGACCACAUAACCACAAUACCAUAAAAUAACUUUGAAAGACUUUUAUGUUUGUUUGAUGUAAUGACUAAUGAUGAAGCAUGAUUUCCACCUCUUGGCAAAGAAGAGGAGCAGAAUGAGACAUUUUUUCCUAACAUGGCCAAUGUUUUUAUUUGUUUGGCUUUGCUAUUUUUCUCGGUUAAGAAGAACACUUCUUGUUCCAAAUCACUAUUGAUCAGAGAAAUGCAAAUUAAGACAACUCUGAGAUAUCACUACACACCUGUCAGAUUGGCUAAGAUGACAGGAAAUAAUAAUGAUGAAUGUUGGAGGAGAUGCUGGAAAACGGGGACACUGAUGCAUUGUUGGUGGAGUUGUGAACGAAUCCAACCAUUCUGGAGAGCAAUCUGGAAUUAUGCCCAAAAAGUUAUCAAACUGUGCAUACCCUUUGAUCCAGCAGUGUUUCUAUUGGGCUUAUACCCCAAAGAGAUACUAAAAAAGGGAAAGGGACCUGUAUGUGCCAAAAUGUUUGUAGCAGCCCUGUUUGUAGUGGCUAGAAACUGGAAAAUGAAUGGAUGCCCAUCAAUUGGAGAAUGGCUGGGUAAAUUGUGGUAUAUGAAUGUUAUGGAAUAUUAUUGCUCUGUAAGGAAUGACCAGCAGGAUGAAUACAGAGAGGCUUGGAGAGACCUACAUGGACUGAUGCUAAGUGAGAUGACCAGAACCAGGAGAUCAUUAUACACUUCGACAACGAUAUUGUAUGAGGAUGUAUUCUGAUGGAAGUGGAUUUCUCUGACAAAGAGACUUAACUGAGUUUCAUUGGAUAAAUGAUGGACAGAAACAGCUACACCCAAAGAAGGAACACUGGGAAAUGAAUGUGAACUAUUUGAUUUUUGAUUUUCUUCCCGAGUUAUUUUAACCUUCUGAAUCCAAUUCUCCCUGUGCAGCGGGAGAACUGUUCGGUUCUGCAAAUAUGUAUUGUAUCUAGGAUAUACUGCAACAUAUUUAACAUAUAUAGGACUGCUUGCCAUCUUGGGGGGGGGGGAGGGAGGGAGGGAGGGGAAAAAACGAAACAUAAGUGAUUGCAAGGGAUAAUGCUGUGUAAAAAUUAUCCUGGCAUGGAUUCUGUCAAUACAAAGUUAUUAUUAAAUAAAAUUAAAUUUAAAAAAAAUAAGAACACUUCUGUGGUAAGAAAAGAAAGGAAGAAAAGAGGGAAGAAGAAAAUGAGAAAAAGAAGAAAGGAAUGAAAGAAGGAAGGAAAAGAUGGCAUGAAAAGAAGAGAGGAAAGGAAAGAGGA